rnacentral:rRNA from 1 species
AUUGAACGCUGGCGGCAUGCCUUACACAUGCAAGUCGAACGGCAGCACGGGAGCAAUCCUGGUGGCGAGUGGCGAACGGGUGAGUAAUGCAUCGGAACGUGCCCGAUCGUGGGGGAUAACGCAGCGAAAGCUGCGCUAAUACCGCAUACGAUCUGAGGAUGAAAGCGGGGGACCGUAAGGCCUCGCGCGAUCGGAGCGGCCGAUGUCAGAUUAGGUAGUUGGUGGGGUAAAGGCCAACCAAGCCGACGAUCUGUAGCUGGUCUGAGAGGACGACCAGCCACACUGGGACUGAGACACGGCCCAGACUCCUACGGGAGGCAGCAGUGGGGAAUUUUGGACAAUGGGCGAAAGCCUGAUCCAGCAAUGCCGCGUGCAGGAAGAAGGCCUUCGGGUUGUAAACUGCUUUUGUACGGAGCGAAAAGGUCCUUUCUAAUACAAGGGGCUCAUGGCGGUACCGUAAGAAUAAGCACCGGCUAACCACGUGCCAGCCGCCGCCGUAAUAC